rnacentral:lncRNA from 1 species
CUCUAAAUUCUCACCUUCCUAAAAUGCAGUGGCACUUAUUGAGUGCCUUUUAUAUGCCAGGCAUUGGGCUAGGAGCUUCUGGGUGGCUUUCUGAAUCCCCAAAUAACCCCAUGAAAUAUGAAAGAUUUCUGGAAAGACUAUUAGUAGAGAAAGUAACCUAAGAAACCAUUUCACUUUGGGAGGUUGAAGUGGGAGGACAGCUUGAGCCCAGGAGUUUGAGACCAGCCUCGGCAACAGUGUGAGACCCAUCUCUACAAAAAACUUUAAAAAUUAGCCAGUUGUGGUGGCAUGUACCUGUAGUCCUAGCUACUUGGGAGGGUGAGGUGGGAGAAGUAUUUGAGCCCGGGAGUUCGAGGCUGCAGUAAGCUAUGACUGUGCCACUGUACUCCAGCCUGGGCAACAUAAGAAUACGCUGUCUCAAAAUAAUGAUAAUAAUAAUAAAACUCAUUUCCCAUUCAUCUCCUCAACCCUGGAUUCUGGGUUUUUCUAAAUUAAGAAAACUGCCAUAAUCUUUCGAAGCUCAGUUUUUAUGAGGCAAUUGGAUAUUAUUAACACAUAUAAUAGGAUCACAUAAGAAAUUCAUUAUUAAACUAGGGGCUACAAAAUAUUCUAUCAAAUAUCUAUCAACCAAUAGAUUCAUUUUAGAGGGGUAUUUUCAAUAUUUUAUCCUUCUAAGGAAAAUCUUCUAUGAGGAGAUUAAUUUCAAGAUCAUUUUUACUAAAUAAGCAGUCAAUGGACUCUGUCAAUUAGUGCCCCUGGACUAAUGUGGUCUUUAUACACUUAGACUGACCUCUGCUGGACAGUCUAAUAACCUGUCAGCAUUUUUUUUUUCUCUGAGAGUAUGAUUAGGAAAGGGGCAUUUUCCCCAAAUUUUAUCUAGUAUUUAGUAACAAAUUUACACAGUUCAACUUACAAAUAUUAAUCAAGCCCUCUACACCACCUAAUGGCAAAAUCUUAUAUUGCAUUCGGCUGCCAGAGGUGUGUCCGGAGGCAGAGUGGGAGGAGACUGAUGAGGUUACAUGAACUAUCCAGUCUGAAUGCUCCUUUUCAUAGUCUCUUCCUCCUGUGCAGGACAUAAGAAUACCUGAGAAAUGAGGCUGCUUCCACGAGCCUGUCAGGGGCCAAGUCACAGUAUCUUCUGGGUUCACCCCUAAAACUGAAGUCUACCACUUCAUGGUGGUCACUUGUGCCUAAACUAGCCAGUGUAGACAAGUCUGAUAUGGGUGGUGCAAACAAGCUGAAUUUUGAUAUAAAGUCCUAUGCUUCAAUUUAUGUAAAACUGCAGAUAAAAAACACGAAUGACCCUGAAAAUAAGUGAUGCUUUUCCAUUUCAAAUAUUCUUUUAAAAUAGUGCCUGCUUCUGAUAAUAAAAAUUACAUAAUUAUUUUUAAAAUUCUAUAAAGGAAAAAAUUAAAUAAAAAUUGCCUACAAUUCCAUCUACCAAGUUGUAUUACAAUUUUAGUUUAUUUUGUGCCCAUCUCUGUU